ACUCCUACGGGAGGCAGCAGUGGGAAUAUUGCACAAUGGGGAAGCCAUCGAUGCAGCCAUGCCGCGCUGUGUGAAGAAGGCCAAUUCGGGCUUGGUAAAGACACUUUUCAGUAGGGAGGAAGGUAGUGUAGUUAACACCUGCACUAUUUUGACGUUACCUACAGAAGAAGCACCGGCUAACUCCGUGCCAGCAGCCGCGGUAAUACGGAGGGUGCGAGCGUUAAUCGGAAUUACUGGGCGUAAAGCGCAUGCAGGCGGCCUGUUAAGUCAGAUGUGAAAGCCCGGGGCUUAACCUCGGAAUUGCAUUUGAAACUGGCAGGCUAGAGUCUUGUAGAGGGGGUGAGAAUUGAUCAGGUGUAGCGGUG
rnacentral:rRNA from 1 species